CGAUUCAUACAUUCAUGUAUUCAUUAGAGAUUUAUCAGGCACUCAUCAGUGUUUACCCCAGCCUCAUCCUUGUCUUUUCUUGCCCUCCUGCCCAUUCCUCAUCCCUUGAAGACUUUGGCCCUGGACUCACAAUCUUCCCUCUCUCAAGUCUUCCCAUCACCAAUGUGAAUGAGCCAUCCUAACUCCUGGAAGCUCAAGGCCAUGACCUCCUCCAUGACCUUCUUUCCUGCUGUACUUCAGGGACUGCUCUUCCCAGGCUUGCUGACCUGUUCCUCCUCUCUUGCUCUCAGGAGAUCAGCUCCCCAUCAACUUCAGAGAGGAGAUAGAACCAGACGAGUCUUACUCUAUGCCCUGAGUAG